CUUGUCUCAAAGAUUAAGCCAUGCAUGUCUCAGCAUAAGCGAUCUUCAGCAAGGCUGCAAAUGGCUCAUUACAACAGCAAUAAUUUUCGCAGUGCUUCAUCACACAUGGAUAACUGUGGAAAAUCUAGGGCUAAUACAUGCGUCAUACCUGACUUCUGGGAAAGGUUGCUAUCAUGAGUCAUAGAAUCGGCGCAGGCUCUGCCUUGCUACUAAGGUGAGUCAUGAUAAUUUAGCUGAUCGCAUUGCAUCAGCUGGUGAUGAACUGCACAAGUUUCUGACCUAUCAGCUUCCGACGCUA
rnacentral:rRNA from 1 species